GGAGAGAUGUCUGAGCGGUUUAAGGAGCACGAUUGGAAAUCGUGUAAACUGUUAACGCAGUUUCCGGGGUUCGAAUCCCCGUCUCUCCGCCA
rnacentral:tRNA from 1 species